CCCUUAGAUGUUCUAGGCUGCACGCGCGCUACACUGAAGCUAUCAACACGUUUUCCCUCCCUGAGAAGGGCGGGUAACCUUUUGAAUCAGCUUCGUGGUAGGGAUCGGGGCUUGCAAUUGUUCCCCGUGAACCAGGAAUUCCUAGUAGACGCGAGUCAUAAGCUCGCGUCGAUUAAGUCCCUGCCCUUUGUACACACCGCCCGUCGCUACUACCGAUUGAACGUUUUAGUGAGGCAUUUGGACCGACGCAUCUCAGUUUAACCGCUGGUUUGUGUUGGAAAGACUUCCAAACUUGAGCGUUUAGAGGAAGUAAAAGUCGUAACA
rnacentral:rRNA from 1 species